rnacentral:sRNA from 1 species
CAGUACGUAUCUGCUGUGGUGCGAUAAAGUGGAUAUGUGUGUCUAUUCCUCCGGCAGUAAUGAUAUGCCCUUCGCCGGCUAUAAUUUCGGUUGCUGCGCCAAUAAUGAGAGCAGGAUCAACGCCGUCCAUCGUAUCCGGGUUACCGGAUUUGCCUAUGCCGCAAAUGAACCCAUCCCUAAUUCCGAUAUCCGCCUUUACAAUACCCCAAUGGUCUAUGAUGACAACGUUCGUAAUGACCGUAUCCGGUGUUCCUUGACUUCGCAGGGCAGAAGCCGAUUGACCCAUGCCAUCUCGG